rnacentral:lncRNA from 1 species
CUUGUCUUGCUUAUAAUUUUUUGGGGGUUUAGAGUGUUUAUUUAUCAAUCAUAAUGAGGCAUAACAGAAGAAGGUUUCUCUCUAGAUGUCAUAAUUUUAAUGAUAAAAAUCAAAAAAGAAAAUAGUACAAUUUGUCAUUAAUGGGCAAUAACUCCUGUAACAAUUUAUCUGACAGUUUUGACAUAUAUAUGGACAAUUGCUAAAGCUCAUAAUUC